GGCUCAAUGGUCUAGAGGUAUGAUUCUCGCUUUGGGUUACAACAGCUCGAUUGCGAGAGGCCCCGCGUUCGAAUCGCGGUUGAGCCC